AUGACGCUGCGCGGGCCGAGAGCAGGGUCGGAAGGGAGGCUUCCCGGCACGAAGCGAAGGCCACCCCAGCAGAGGCUUCCUUGCCCCGCGAGGAGGACUGCAAGCAGCCCCGCACACAGAAGGCAGCCCCCACUCUCGCCCCUGCUCCCUCUGGAGAGCCGCCCCGAGGCCGCGCGCCGGCGUCCCGAGAGCCUCGCCCGCCGCCGGGAUGGGGCCCCGCUCCCUGCUGACCGCGCGGCGGGCGCCGCAGGGCGGGUCUGGGCGCGGCGCGCCGGCGACGCGGGCUCCGACCUCCCGACCUUCCCCGCACGCCGGAGGCCCCGGGCUCCCACCGGCGGGCGGAGUCCACGCCUACCUGUUGUGCCCCAGGGAGCGCAGACUUUCCCGGAGCCCAGGAGGAAGGCUGUCCGCACCGGGCAGCGGGCGUCCCCGCGCGCCGGGUCAGCCCCUCCUCGCAGGGCCCCGGCCCCUGGCCACGGCGCCUCAGCCCUCGACUCCUUCCCGCACCCGGGGCCAGCUACCUCCACCACUUCGCCGCCGCCACCACCCCGGGAACGCCCAGCCGCUCAACUCCCGCCGCGGGCCCCGGUGCGGCGUCUCUCCCCGCAGGCAGGCAGCCUGGACACCGCCCCCUCGCGCCCGGAGCCGCCUCCACUCCCGGGAACCCCCGACUGCCCGACCUCAGGGGCGCCCCCCGCGGCUCGGCGCGCCUCCCAGCCCCGCCACGUUACCCGCUCCACAGCGCAGCAGGGCAGCGCCACGACUUGCCAGCGGCGGCGACUGCGAGGCAGGAGGCGGGAGGGGUGUGCGCGGGGCGGGGCCGGAAAGCUCCGGGUCAGCGCCGCCCGGGCUCGGAUUGGGGGCGCGCCCUGCGCCGCGCCGCGGAGCCCAGGCCUCCCCAGCCGGCCACCGAGCCAUCGAGCGCCCGCUCUGGCAGGCGUGACUGCUCCACCGCCGAAAGAGCGAUGGAGGCGACCGCGGCCCAGAUUGAACCCAGGGCUGCGGAUCUGCAGUCCGAAGAUUUUGGCCACAGCUAUUUUUGUCUGUUUUUAUCGCCACUUAGAAUCCGUGGGGGCGGCAUUGGGCAUCUGA
rnacentral:lncRNA from 1 species